rnacentral:rRNA from 1 species
AAAGAAAAUAACAAUGAUUCCCUCAGUAACGGCGAGCGAAGAGGGAUAAGCUCAAAUUUUAAAUCUGUUGGGUUCCACUUAACAGAGUUGUAUUUUGAAGAAACGUUUUCUGCAUCCAGGAUUAGCCUAAAUCCUUUGGGAUAAGGUAUCAUGGAGGGUGAGAAUCCCGUUCAUGGUUAAUCUUAAGGAAGCUCUACGAUACGUUUUCCAAGAGUCGAGUUGUUUGGGAUUGCGGCUCAAAAUGGGAGGUAAAUUUCUCCUAAGGCUAAAUAUUGGCGAGAGACCGAUAGCGAACAAGUACCGUGAGGGAAAGAUGAAAAGAACUUUGAAAAGAGAGUUAAACAGUACGUGAAAUUGUUGAAAGGGAAACGAUUGAAG